GGCGACCCCUCGUGCGGCGUCACCCCGCUAAACUCCCCCAGGGCCGGAAGGCAGCAAGGGCAGGUGGGCUCUGGCGGGUGCGCGAGGGGUCCUAGGU
rnacentral:SRP_RNA from 1 species